CCCUUAGAUGUUCUGGGCCGCACGCGUGCUACACUGAGUAAUUCAAUGGGUAAGGGAACGCUAGAGCAUUACCUAAUCUUGAAAUUUGCUCGUGAUGGGGAUCGACGGUUGCAAUUUUCCGUCGUGAACGAGGAAUACCUUGUAGGCGCAUGUCAUCAUCAUGCGCCGAAUACGUCCCUGCCCUUUGUACACACCGCCCGUCGCUCCUACCGAUUGAGUGAUCCGGUGAGGCUCUGGGACCUGGACAGAAAGAGCGUUUCGCUUGUUCUGUUUGGGAAACUUGGUCGAACCUUAUCAUUUAGAGGAAGGAGAAGUCGUAACA
rnacentral:rRNA from 1 species